rfam:Leuconostoc mesenteroides subsp. mesenteroides ATCC 8293, complete genome.
UCAGAAACAUUGAUAAGGACAACUCGAUUGUCAUGCACUUAAAGAGAGUUCAUGUUUGGUGAAAAUGAGCAGUGCAUACAUAAGAGACUACCUUUGAGUGGUGAUUUAGUAGUUUUAAAUGAAAAGUUGCCCGGGUGAUACCGUUAUAUAUCAUUUGAGAGAAAUAGGAAUUUUUCCUGUUUUAAACUUGGGUGGUACCGCGGUAAAACGUCCCUUUA